rnacentral:rRNA from 1 species
AUGACACAACCAAAAUCCAUGGGUGGUCUUGGCUUUAAAGAUUUUGAGUUAUUCAAUCUGGCCAUGUUAGCCAAGCAGGUAUGGCGCCUGCUUCAGACCCCUGAUUCGCUAAGUGACAGACUCCUAAAAAGUGUCUAUUACCCCAACAACAAUAUAUUGGAGGCAAACUUAGGGGGACAUCCAAGCCAAGUAUGGAGAGCUAUUGUGGAGGGCCGUGAUAUUCUGAAACAGGGAAUAAUAAAGCGUAUAGGAAACAAUCAGACUACGCGCAUAUGGGAUGAUAAUUGGAUUCCCCGAGAUGAAAUGCUGAGACCGUAUGGGUGUUGUGUUGCAAAUCCUCCAGAGUUGGUGACUGAUCUCAUAGAUGCCACGUUGGACACAUGGAACUGGCAGCUCGUACAAUAG